AACGCUAGCUACAGGCUUAACACAUGCAAGUCGAGGGGAAACGAUAUUGGAAGCUUGCUUCCGAUAGGCGUCGACCGGCGCACGGGUGAGUAACGCGUAUCCAACCUGCCCACCACUUGGGGAUAACCUUGCGAAAGUAAGACUAAUACCCAAUGACGUCUCUAGAAGACAUCUGAAAGAGAUUAAAGAUUUAUCGGUGAUGGAUGGGGAUGCGUCUGAUUAGCUUGUUGGCGGGGUAACGGCCCACCAAGGCAACGAUCAGUAGGGGUUCUGAGAGGAAGGUCCCCCACAUUGGAACUGAGACACGGUCCAAACUCCUACGGGAGGCAGCAGUGAGGAAUAUUGGUCAAUGGGCGAGAGCCUGAACCAGCCAAGUAGCGUGCAGGAUGACGGCCCUAUGGGUUGUAAACUGCUUUUAUACAGGAAUAAAGUUAGCCACGUGUGGUUAUUUGUAGGUACUGUAUGAAUAAGGACCGGCUAAUUCCGUGCCAGCAGCCGCGGUAAUACGGAAGGUCCAGGCGUUAUCCGGAUUUAUUGGGUUUAAAGGGAGCGUAGGCCGUCUGUUAAGCGUGUUGUGAAAUGUAGAUGCUCAACAUCUGAAUUGCAGCGCGAACUGGCAGACUUGAGUGUGCGCAACGUAGGCGGAAUUCGUGGUGUAGCGGUGAAAUGCCUAGAUAUCACGAAGAACUCCGAUUG
rnacentral:rRNA from 1 species